rnacentral:rRNA from 1 species
AUACGGAGGGUGCGAGCGUUAAUCGGAAUUACUGGGCGUAAAGCGUACGUAGGCGGUUGGGUAAGAUAGAUGUGAAAGCCCCGGGCUUAACCUGGGAACCGCAUUUAAAACUGGCGAACUAGAGUUGAGUAGAGGGGAGUUGAAUUUCAGGUGUAGCGGUGAAAUGCGUAGAGAUCUGAAGGAACACCAGUGGCGAAGGCGACUCCCUGGACUCGAACUGACGCUGAGGUACGAAAGCGUGGGUAGCAAACGGGAUUAGAAACCCUAGUAGUCC